UGGUUCUGGCAUCGAUGAAGAACGCAGCGAAAUGCGAUAAGUAAUGUGAAUUGCAGAAUUCAGUGAAUCAUCGAAUCUUUGAACGCACAUUGCGCCCUCUGGUAUUCCGGAGGGCAUGCCUGUUCGAGCGUCAUUUCAACCCUCAAGCAUUGCUUGGUGUUGGGGCGCGGCCUUUAACGGGGCCGGCCCUGAAAUCUAGCGGCGAGCCCGCCUGGACCCCGAGCGCAGUAGUUCAUACUUUAUCUCGCUCCGGAAGGCCCUGGCGGCUGCCCUGCCGUUAAACCCCCCAACCUCUGAAAUCUUGACCUCGGAUCAGGUAGGAAUACCCGCUGA
rnacentral:misc_RNA from 1 species